UUAAUUAUAGAUUCUCAUACAGUUGUAAGAAAUAAUACAGAGAUAUCCCAUAUGCCCUUUACCCAGUUUCUCAAUGGUGACAUCUUGCAAAACAAAAGCACAAUGUUAUCAGUAGGAUAUUGACAUUGAUGUAGUCAAGAUACAGAGCAUUUUCCAUCACCACAUGGAUCCGUCAUGUUGCGCUUUUAUAGACACACUUCAUUCCUACCUGUGUCUCCCUCCUCAUCCAGAACACCAUGGAAAUUGCUAAUCUGUUCUCCAUUUCAAUAAUUUUGUUAUUUCAAGAACUUUAGUUUUCUUCUUAUCCAUUGGCUAGAAUUGCAUCACAUGUGUAUGACUAAGGCAAUUGCUGGCGGAAGAGAUGCAACUUCAUGAGACUGGGGCUGGAAACAUCUCCCUUGAGAUCCAGGGUUAUGCAGAAGAAGGAGAGAGAGACAGCGUGAGCAAGGGAGAGUCAGAGAGAG